rnacentral:rRNA from 1 species
AGUGAACGCUGGCGGUAGGCCUAACACAUGCAAGUCGAACGGCAGCACAGUAAGAGCUUGCUCUUACGGGUGGGGAGUGGCGGACGGGGGAGGAAUACAUCGGAAUCUACUUUUUCGUGGGGGAUAACGGAGGGAAACUUCCGCUAAUACCUCAUACCACCUGCGGGUGAAAGCAGGUGAUCGUCGGACCUUGCGCGAUUGAAUGAGCCGAUGUCGGAUUAGCUAGUUGGCGGGGUAAAGGCCCACCAAGGCGACGAUCCGUAGCUGGUCUGAGAGGAUGAUCAGCCACACUGGAACUGAGACACGGUCCAGACUCCUACGGGAGGCAGCAGUGGGGAAUAUUGGACAAUGGGCGCAAGCCUGAUCCAGCCAUACCGCGUGGGUGAAGAAGGCCUUCGGGUUGUAAAGCCCUUUUGUUGGGAAAGAAAAGCAGCAGGUUAAUACCCCGCUGUUCUGACGGUACCCAAAGAAUAAGCACCGGCUAACUUCGUG